rnacentral:rRNA from 1 species
UACGUAGGGGGCAAGCGUUGUCCGGAAUCAUUGGGCGUAAAGAGCGUGUAGGCGGUCCGUUAAGUCGGCUGUGAAAGUCCAAGGCUCAACCUUGGGAUGCCGGUCGAUACUGCCGGACUAGAGUUCGGAAGAGGCGAGUGGAAUUCCCGGUGUAGCGGUGAAAUGCGCAGAUAUCGGGAGGAACACCUAUGGCGAAGGCAGCUCGCUGGGACGUUACUGACGCUGAGACGCGAAAGCGUGGGGAGCAAACAGGAUUAGAUUACC